GCCUGGGUGGCUCAGUCGGUUGAGCAUCUGGCUCUUGAUUUUGGCCACAGUUCGUGGGUUCAAGCCCCACAUUGGGCU
rnacentral:tRNA from 1 species